UGUAAGCGUAUACCAAAGUUGUUGCAGUUAAAACGCUCGUAGUCGGAAUUUGGCAGUUCCGGAUGUGUGCACGUCGUGUGCGCACUUCGCGGGGAUUGCUUUUGUGGUCUUGCGUAGGAUGAGGCACUUUUAUUAGUGAACGUCCUCACGCAACCACUUUUUACUGUGAGAAAAUCAGAGUGCUCAAAGCAGGCACUUGCCGUGAAUGUAUUAGCAUGGAAUAAUAGAAUAGGACUUGGUUCUAUUUUGUUGGUUUGUUGGGACUGAGUAAUGAUUAAGAGGGACAGUUGGGGGCAUUUGUAUUUCGGUGCUAGAGGUGAAAUUCUUAGAUUACCGAAAGACAAACUGCUGCGAAAGCGUCUGCCAAGGAUGUUUUCACUGA
rnacentral:rRNA from 1 species